rnacentral:rRNA from 1 species
UACGUAGGGUGCAAGCGUUAAUCGGAAUUAUUGGGCGUAAAGAGCUUGUAGGCGGUUUGUCGCGUCUGCUGUGAAAUUUCGGGGCUCAACCCCGAACUUGCAGUGGGUACGGGCAGACUAGAGUGUGGUAGGGGAGACUGGAAUUCCUGGUGUAGCGGUGAAAUGCGCAGAUAUCAGGAGGAACACCGAUGGCGAAGGCAGGUCUCUGGGCCACUACUGACGCUGAGAAGCGAAAGCAUGGGGAGCGAACAGG